AUGGGGCAGAACGCUCCCACCCUGGAGAGGCUACCGACUGCUGUCGUUCAACCUGCUUCUCCACUCCGUGUGCCGUUAAAGCGUCCCGUUGAACCUCCAAACCCAUGUAGACGCAAGGCCAGAUCCGCAGCCUCUCGCAGAGCCAGAAGGCCAGGCAACACCAGGCUCCCGUUCUGGCAGGAGCCAAAGGGGCAGGUUCAAAGGGGCAAGAGCCUCCAGCUUGCCCAGACCUCUACUUCUGUGUGCAUUUCCUGCCUCCCCCCGCAGUGGGCCUCCUGGUCCCAUAGUGGGGGGGCUGGUGAGAAGGAGGCUCAUCGUCCCCACUUGCAGGGAGCUGACACCCCUGGAGGAAGCCUCGCUACAGAACCAGAAGCUGCAGGCCGCCUACGAGGCCCGCCUGGCCCGGCUGGACGCCACCCAGGCUGUGCAGAAGACGUCGCUGACCCUGUCCCUGCAGCGGCAGAUGAUGGAGAACCUGGUGAUUGCCAAAGCGCGUGAGCAGACGGCAUCCUUUCUGCACGUCCUGGACUUGGGCUAAGGCAGGAGAAGGCCGCUGUGCGGGGCGAGCACGGCCCCCCGCCCCGCCGCUCCGGGCCUCCCAUCCUUCAAGUCCGCUGGGCACCGCCCCCCAGCCCUCCUCCCCAAGUUGGCACCUGCCAGGCUCCCCUUCCCCAUCGCUUCCGCCCUCCUGCACUGUGCGUGGCCCCUGGGACACCCUGGCGGUCAGCAGAUACCUGGAGUGGGGCCCUCAUCAGACCCCGGGGGGUCUGCGGGGGACAAGGGCCGGGUCGGGGUGGGCGCACCUCUGGCCGGGGAAGCUCCUUGACUCACUGUCCAGCUCCAGAGGAAGGCUGAGGAGCGGCGGCUGCGGCUGCAGGAGGCUGCGGACAGGUGCGCCCCUCUCGUUCGCACCCAGGACACGCGUCGGGUGGGGGGCUUUCCCACAGGCCCACCCAGGCCUUUCUUCCCAGGAGGUUCUGCAGCCAGGUGGUCCUGACCCCGGAGGAGCGGGAGCAGCGGGCCCUCUACGCGGCCGUUCUGGAGUACGAGCAGGACCACGUGAGCCCCGCGGGCCGGGGGUCGCCCUGGGCUCUUCCUGGGUGCACCGUGGUGGGGGGCGAGGGGCAGCGGGCGCGGUGCUGUCGCCGAGGCGCUCUGUCCUGCAGGACUGGCCGAAGCUCUGGAGGGCCAAACUCAAGAGGAGCCCCGGGGACCUGGCGCUGGUGACCGGCCUGGUCUCCCACCUGCUCAGGUACCCUCGAGCCCCUCCCCGCCGGCCGGUUGAUGGAGAGCACAAAGGAUGGGCUAGGAGGGGGGGCGCAUGGCAGGAGGGAGUGCCCCGGGCACCCGGGGACUGGCCC
rnacentral:lncRNA from 1 species